rnacentral:RNase_P_RNA from 1 species
CCGAUCCCGCUGGCGGCCACGGGGCGCAUGCCCGUGGAAGCACCACCCUCCGUGCGGCACCCGGGCCCCGCAAGGGGCGCGGGGAGACCCCGCGGCAACGGCACAGAAACGACACGUCCACCAGUAGAUGAGGAUGAGGCGGCGAGGACUCCCGGGUAACCGGGGGUCAGGGAAACCCGCUGACGAUGCUGGUGGGAGCGUUGAAACGGCCGUCCCCGGGGGAGUAAGGCCGAGCAGCACCGAUGAGGGCCGUGCGAGGUGCGGGUAGGCCGCUUAGCCAAAUGCCGCCGCAGUAC